CUGUGCCAUUUCACUUUAUUACACAUGACUUAAUUUAUGGACAUAAAUGUUUGGAUUUCUUUCAAUGUGUGCAUUACUUGGGUUCAUGCCGACAUCUGGUGAAAAUUUCAUGUCAAUAGCUCGAUUAGAAAUAUGUUUUUUGAGAGAAAUGUUGACGUGUUCAAUACUUCUUUUCCCCGCUGUAAUUAUUAAGUGCCUGUUCGCUCAUAAUUUUUUAAAUCUGUGCGGCCAGUGCUUUAUUCUUGCCCGAAUAAACCCAGUAGAAGCAGGGUUAGAAUUAGGCUAAUACGUGCCAGUUGUAUUUAAAAUCUGUGCGGGCAAUGCUGCAAUGUCCAUCUUGGCUGCGCGUAGAUAUGUGGGAAUAACAUCAGCCGUUAUUUUGUCAGGACAUGAGUGGUAACACAAAUUCACAUGAUUGUUUGCACGGUUUCUCAGUACUGCCAUUUUCUCAUUACUGCCAUGAGCAACAUUCUGCAUAUGAAGCCACUCCUCUGCUCGGAGACACAGUUCUCCCGGGAGACAUGGUUCUCCUGCGUGAGCAGCUCGCUCAUGCAGGGCAGCCUGACAGACUGCUGUCCGAAGCAUCCUCCAGAUGGCACACCUUAACAAAGCAACCUCCCUUGCCCGCAAACACAAAGAUACAAAGACAUGCCUUGCUUGCGUGGAGCAGCCGGCCGGCCUCCUCUGUAGUGCCACAUUAUCUACGCACGACGUAAGAGCCAGAACAGUUGUGACCCACUAUCGAAAUAAACUGUUUACAUGCACCAUGAUCGGAUCAAUAAUUGGCAUAACCCACCUAUCUCGAUUAAAUUUUAUUUUUUUUGACUCAUUAGUCUAAUCGGGGAAGAGUGUUUUGAACGGCAUGUUUACAUGACCCAUUUUUAUUCUGAUCAGGCAUUUAUUCCGAUUACUUUGGUUCAGGUAACUGCAGCUAUUGUUGAAGUAGUUAAAAUGCAAUAACUAAAUUACUGUUUAAUUGUUACUAACCUUAUCUAUGUAAUGAGUAAAUUAAGAACAAAAUGGUUAAGAGAUGCAGGAUACUUCAGAAUUUAAAUGUGAUAAGUUUCAAUUCAAGUGCUGUAAUAUUUUCUAGCAGUUUUCGUGUUAUAAAAGUGGAACAAAACCAUCCCCCCGCUUAUCACUAAUGAGGUUGAACAGAUUUUAUGCGUGCGGUUUAAUAAUUGAGGUCCAAUGUCAGCCGUGGUCAGAAUGUUUAGCCACUGACUCUGACUCACAGGUGUUACGCUGAAUUGUGCUCCACUCUGAAAACCAGUGCCAUGGUUAAAUGGUUUCUUGAACAUCUGAAGUGCAAGCUGUAAGUGUGGCACUGAAGAUCAAGACUUUUUGGUAAACUUCUUGACUCUUGUAAUUUAGUUGCAGGUUCAGGUUUGUAUUUCUGUAAAUAACCCUAAAGUGAAGAAAAAGAAAAAACGUCUCUGACUGGUCUGAGAUAUUUUGAAAUGAUUGUCUUCAGUGCUUUAACUAUUGUGUUGUCUUAAUUUCUAUCUCAAGUGAUUGAAAACCAUCAACUAUGAAUGUCUUUUCUGACACAUCCAAUCAGUAUAUUCUGUGAAAUGUUUAUGAAGUCCACUCUCUGUUGUUGUGUGAUGCUUUUAAUUCACCAAGUAAUGUUUUGAUUGCACUGUAUCCAUUAGAAAAGCCACAAACCCUUUAGCAGCUCUUCAAGAAGGUACACACUGUCAGGAAGUAAAAAUGAAUCUGCUGCUGCUUUGGUUGUCUGAUGCAAUUCAAGAUACCCAUCCAUUCAGUUCUAAUGUUUACAAAAGGUGUGGUUCUCACACACUGUUUACAACAGCAGAUAACACUGACACACACAGAGCUGUCCACCAAUAGCUGUUUAAAAUUCCCAAAGUAUUGGCUUCAGAUGCGGUGGAUGAUGGGGGCAAGAGUUUUGUUUACAUUUUGAUUAAGAACCUUUUUUUUUUUCAAAUUAUGUGAAUUUUGAAUAGUAUUUCUGUAAAUUUAAUAAACUGUCAAGUCUCCUAUUUAGGCAAUCUGUGUUGGAAUUCUUUAUUUCACAU
ensembl:lncRNA